CAACGGAAUGCAAAAGAGAGAAAAGGAACGAUGAAGGUUGCCCAAGCCCACCCAAAAACCGUACCCCAUACACUAGUUUGUUAAGUUCUGUUCACACCGCUUUUAAAAAUAAAUAAAUUUCAGGGUGUGAAGGCCAUGAGGCUUUUUACUUGGUCUACUGGCUGGGUCGGGGUCGUAAGGCGCCAUGCUAAGUGACGGUACGUAAACCCGCCCUGCAACAAUAGUCAUGGGUCCGAGGACUUCCACUGCGUGAACAAACUCCUAACUUCGCGAUUAUACUUUGGUGACAGAAGAAAAAGAUGGCUCCUUGUCAACACACGUUUAUGUCAUAUCGCCUAUUUCUGGAACUAGUGACGUCUGCUCUAUAAUCUUGUUAGGGAACAUCCAGAAAGUACGUUCGUCAUUCGCAGUUACGAAAAUGCCUGUGCGAGCUCCCAAAGCGCCUGAUAGGUAGGCAGAAUCUUGCCUGCAGUGCAUGUGUGUACUGCGGGGUGGCCUACCCGG